rnacentral:rRNA from 1 species
UACGGAGGGUGCAAGCGUUAUCCGGAUUUACUGGGUUUAAAGGGUGUGUAGGCGGGCUAUUAAGUCAGUGGUGAAAUCUCCGGGCUCAACCCGGAAACUGCCAUUGAUACUAUUAGUCUUGAAUUUUGUUGAGGUAGGCGGAAUAAGUCAUGUAGCAGUGAAAUGCAUAGAUAUGACUUAGAACACCAAUUGCGAAGGCAGCUUACUAAGCAAAUAUUGACGCUGAGCACGAAAGCGUGGGGAUCAAACAGG